rnacentral:lncRNA from 1 species
AAUAACUUGAAUUAAUUUCAUAAACUAUUUUAUCUAUUGCUGUCCCAAACCAUCAGUUUGUAUCUGAAAUGUUGAUAUCGAUCAGGUUAGUGAUCCAACCACACGCAAAGACCCAUCUUCUUUUGGAGACUGUAGGGUUCAUCUCUUAGAGAGCUGAACACAACCAUACUAUGGUAGCUUCUGCAGAAAGAUCAACUUGCAGGUUUGACUUGGUAUAUUAACUUGACUCCACAGAAUUAUUUUGAGACAAUGUAGGCAACUGAGAAACUUAAUCACCAAAAGUCUUAGCAAAAGUUGGGACAGUAUAUCACCUGUUCUUCUCUUUCAUAUCUUGCAGACAUUGCUGUUCUGAUAUCAUGCAGAAAUGACAUGGAAGGUACUCAAAGCUCUGUUAGGAUCCUUGCAGGCAUCUGCUUUUUAGAAUUCUUCCAAAGAGAUGAGCCUCACCUGUCUGCACCCUUAAAAAUGCUUCUUUCUUGCAAAACAAUUUUCACAGAUGAGGAGGCUUUAACCAUAUACUGUUGUCAAAUGCCCUAUAAAUGAACCAUCCUUUCUUUCUGACCUUGGAACUGUUUUGCACAGUGUUCCUGCUGAAUGAUAAAUGAUUCCAUCAUAUAAGCAGUAGACAAUCAUAUAAAUAAUUAGGCAUCUACUUGUGCCAUAAUUCAUGCUCGAUUGCAUCAAUAAGAGGGCUUGCACUCAGAUAUAUAGUUCAAAGUUGUGAAAUUAUAAGAGAAUUCUGAAGGAGGUAAAACCAGUUCAACUUUCAGAAUUAAAAUGUUGAAACUCACAUUUCCAAUGCACCAUGCUAAAGAUGAUCACUGUUCUCUCUUUAAGAUUUUGCCACAACCAAUCAAAACAUAGCCAAGUUCAGUACAACUACUGACAACAAGACAGCAUUCAAGCAAUUUAUUUUCCUCAGAUAAACCACCCAAGCAAGGAAGUUGGCAAGAGUGUGUGCCAAUCAGCAGAUGCAGACUAAUGGAAGCCAUUACUUAUUUCCUUUUUCUUCCAUCAUCAAGAAACUUAGCCAGAUUGAGAUUUCCUCCUAAGUAAGCUAUUGUUAUUCUUCAUGCAGUCACGAGGAAAUGUUCCUUCUUAAGCCACAAAUGCAUAAUAAGAAAAAGAGUAAUCUGCUAAAUCUAAAAUGGGGCAUAAAUGAUUGAAUGUUUGGCUGCUGAAGGAAUGUGAAUUUGAACCGAAUAAAAUUAAUCUAGACAUUAACGAUACCAUCCACAUCAACAAGAAUUUUCAUGUAGUUCCAGAACAACACAAUCCUAUGGGACGCAACGAGUUCUAGAGAGAGACCAGUCUGGUCUAUAAAAAAAAAACUCAUAAAUAUCAGUACAGAAGUCCACUAAAAAGUAUAAGGGAGGAAGAAGAGACCAAUCAAACAAAAUGACAUACCACAAGCAAGCACGCAUAUAUAUGUAAGGUUCAUCCACUACAACUUGCGUCUUGAUGUUUACCUUCACAUUUGCAGCAACAAAUAGAGUCAUUUCUGAUCAAAUGACCAAAAUCCUCAAAAAAUUUGGAGGGCACAUGCCAUGAUCGCUUCGGCGAUCUUUCUACCGUGCGCCUCUCUCGCCGCCGAGAAUGCCGACACCUCGAUGUGAUCCGAGGACGAAAACCCCAAGCAGAGAACGAGGUUCGGAAGACUUGAGCGGCAGGUCGCGGAUCGAAGACAAAGAGGAGUUAGGAUUUGGCAACCCACCGGCGGAGGCCGACG